rnacentral:rRNA from 1 species
CGAGUUUGAUCAUGGCUCAGAUUGAACGCUGGCGGCAUGCCUUACACAUGCAAGUCGAACGGCAGCACGGGAGCAAUCCUGGUGGCGAGUGGCGAACGGGUGAGUAAUGUAUCGGAACGUACCUUUCAGUGGGGGAUAACGUAGGGAAACUUACGCUAAUACCGCAUGCGCCCUUCGGGGGAAAGCCGGGGACCUUCGGGCCUGGCGCGAUUGGAUGAGCCCAUGUCGGAUUAGCUAGUUGGCGGGGUAAUGGCCCACCAAGGCGACGAUCCGUAGCUGGUCUGAGAGGAUGAUCAGCCACACUGGAACUGAGACACGGUCCAGACUCCUACGGGAGGCAGCAGUAGGGAAUAUUGGACAAUGGGCGCAAGCCUGAUCCAGCCAUGCCGCGUGAGUGAAGAAGGCCUUCGGGUUGUAAAGCUCUUUCAGCCGGGAAGAAAACGCAUGGGUUAAUACCCUGUGUGGAUGACGGUACCGGAAUAAGAAGCACCGGCUAACUACGUG